UGCCUACUCACCAGAGCUUCCUCUUUAAGGGCAUCAGACUGCCCCUGUUGGAGGCGGUCACCCCUAUGGCCAUCUGCAAGACAGUCAGGUGAACAGCCUACUUUUAACAGAGGUCAAUCAGCAGUUUCCAGAUUAGGAAAGCAAAAGAAAAGGAUCACACCUGUCAAAGGCAAAAGAGGUCCUUAGAAUCUACAAGUAGGUCAGAUGCAGUGACUCCACAGGUUAUUUUCUCCCUCCUCAAAAUUCCCUUCAAGACUAUCUAAUACAAAAAAAGAACACAUCUGGUCAUUACAGAUAGAGGUUUGCAAGUUUACUUGCUCUCUUGCCAGUGAAGCAAUUUACCUAACAUCUGCAUGUGAAGAGCACGCAAGCAGUUGUGAAACUGUCUGGUUCUUACUCAGCACAGUGUACUUUUGGGAGCUAUUCAUUGGCUCUCCGAUCUUUGGACCAGGAAGAGAAGAUUAAAUAAAAAUGAGAAAAAAGCUCUGGGUUCUAUUAUUUUUGAUUCUGUGAAAAUUCCUCUAUCAUGUACAAAGGACAAAUUUGAAGAAUAACUGACAGCCAUAAAUACAGCUCUCUCCUGCCGCCCUAAAUAUCUCUACAAAUAUGUUCAUUUUAUUUCUGUGGUGCAAACUCUUCCUCAGAACCAUCUGCACCACUGGUUGAAAACCAGAACAUACAAAAAAUGCCACUGCUUAAUGGAUUAUGAGCAAGGUCACUCUCAAACCCACUGCAAGCCAACUGUCCAAGCAGCUAGAGCUCAUAUUCGUUGGUCUCACUCCGAAAUGAAAGCUACCAAAUGCUAAAGAAGCCAGUGCAUGUGCCUCAGGAAAAUCAGCUGAUUUCUCUGUGCUGGUUUUGGCUGAGAAGGGGUUAAUUCUCCUCACUGUGGGGGUCGCCUACCUUUCCAGCUUCCCGCGCUCUGCCGCGUGGCGGGUGGGGC